rnacentral:lncRNA from 14 species
UUGUUGAGCAAAGGAGAUUGCCCUGCCCUCUGGCCCUUUUCUUAAGCAGAUUUUGGCCAAAAGCUCCUCUCAUGUGGCACUAAUUGAAAUGAUUGGUGGAGGGGGUGCUGUGAGCGCACUCCGGCUGACUCGGGUUUAUCUGCCAGGGGCUAAGCCAGGGGAGAAGGAAGGAAAAACAGGGAGAAGGGAGAAAAGGCAAAAAGAAGGAGGGGAAGAGGGAAAGGGACAGGAAACCCACCGCACCAGGCCAGCCCAGCCCCAGCUUGGCUCCGCAGUGGCAGCUCUCGGGGCUCCCGGCCAUCUGCCCGUGCUCUGGCGGCGCGGCGGCACCCGGCUGCUGCGCGGUCCCGCGGGAGCAGCGGCAGGAGGAAGAGGAGGAGGAAGGUGGCAGAGCGGGUUUGCGGCCGGGCGCGGGGCCCUCGGCAGGAACACCCCUAAAGGAUCUUCCCUUUUUCCUGUAUCUUGUGGGAUGCAGCCCUGAUGUGAACGGACCUUCCCUCGUGUGAGGCUCAAGAGCAAAGUCUUCUUUUGUUGGCUACAUGUUCAGACAUCAGACUGGCUGGGACUUUGACUGCAGAGAAGGACGUGGCUUAGAAAAAAGGAG